CUGCGGAAGGAUCAUUAUCGAUGGAUUCCACACACACACACUUGUGCACCUGUUGUAGGUCCUCGAAAGGGGAUCUAUGUUUUUCUUGUCACACCCAUGUUGCAUGUCAAUAGAAUGAAUGAAUGAAUAUACAACUUUCAGCAACGGAUCUCUUGGCUCUCGCAUCGAUGAAGAACGCAGCGAAUUGCGAUAAGUAAUGUGAAUUGCAGAUUUUCAGUGAAUCAUCGAAUCUUUGAACGCACCUUGCGCUCCUUGGUAUUCCGAGGAGCAUGCCUGUUUGAGUGUCAUUGAAUUCUCAACCAAGUUGGAUGGUGGAAGCUUGCUGGCCUCUAUGGUCAGCUCUUCUGAAAUGCAUUAGUGAUGCCUUCCGACGUGAUAAUGAUCGUCGUCCGAUCGCUUCCAAUGACUGUUGACCUCAAAUCAGGCAGGACUACCCGCUGAACUUAAGCAUAUCAAUA
rnacentral:rRNA from 1 species